rnacentral:rRNA from 1 species
GGAUGCGAUCAUACCAGCACUAAAGCACCGGAUCCCAUCAAAGAGUAUUACUAGGAUGGGUGACCUCCUGGGAAGUCCUCGUGUUGCAUUCC